GAGACACCACACACACACGGCACAAGAUGGCCGGAGAGGCAGCAGCACCGCGAGCUGUCAGGCGUUUCGCCGCGGCCGCGGGGCCCGCCGGCUGGCGGGGACUCGCGCCCGGGCGGCCCGCAGGUCCGCGGGAGCGAAGCGGUCGCGGCUGGGGCGAGGCGGGCCGCGCGCCGGGGUCGGAGCCCGCGGCAGAGGCGCCCGGGGCGGCCGGGCCCACGACGCGGAAAGCGCCGCUGCGGCAGCGGCCGCGGAGGCUCCCCGGGGCCCGGGCGGCUCGACCCGGUACGGGCGGAAGGCUCGGGCGGGCGGCCGGCGCGGGACUCGGGUGCGGGCGACCAGGAGGUGCUGACCGCGGCGCUCGGACCUGGUUCUCCGACGGGGGAGCUUUUUAACCCCUUUCCGGUGAGGUGGGGACUCAUCUUCGUUUUCGAAUUUAAAAGAACAAUGGAAUCCUGACUACGUUUCAACAAAAAUAAAACUUGUUUUUUUUUUUUCUUUUGGGUGUUGGCUUUUAACUCUUUCAAAGCCGAUUUUGAAAACGGCUGCAGUGUUGCAGAUGAGAAGGUAACUUACAAGAUUAAAAUUAAAUUUGGUUGAUGAUGGUUCUGAACAAAUACAGCUCUUAUUUGAGGUAUGCCAUUUUGAAGACUGAGACCGUGGAAUUUUAUCCUUGAGGAUAAAGGAAAUCUUUGCGAUAGUCUGUGUUUUAUAUAGCAAAAAUACGAAUCCUGAGGCUGAAUUAUCUAAGGGGCCAGUACAACGAAAUAGAUGUUGGUGGAAGAAUUUACACCCAGUCAGCUUGAAGAGUCUCAAAUGGACCCUACCACUGAGAAAUCAAGAUGGCAGUCCACUAUGGGGAAUUGAGAAAAAUGGAUUAAUACAAGAGUGCUGUGAUAAUAUACAACCAAGACAGGGUUCUUUUAACAUGGAUUUCAUGAAAUGAAUGAAGAUAUAGGUUUCUUACCAGCACAAAUGGACAGUGAAUUUGACUUUCUAGAGACUUUGUAUCAUUAAGAACAUUUUUGACAUUUGGAGAAGAAAGAUGGCACAUUAACAGAUGAUAGUUUGUAUGCCUGGAAUUUUUUGCAGUUUGAUUUGUAUGAGUAUGAUCUUGUGGAAUGUUAACUUUAAUAAAAUUUCUAACACUUUAAAAUUU